GACGAACGCUGGCGGCGUGCUUAACACAUGCAAGUCGAGCGGUAAGGCCCUUUCGGGGGUACGACGAGCGGCGAACGGGUGAGUAACACGUGGGUGACCUGCCCUCCAGCUCUGGGAUAAGCCUGGGAAACCGGGUCUAAUACUGGAUAUGACUCCAUGACGCAUGUUGGUGGGGUGGAAAGCCUUGUGCGGCUGAGGAUGGGCCCGCGGCCUAUCAGCUUGUUGGUGGGGUGAGGCCUACCAAGGCGACGACGGGUAGCCGGCCUGAGAGGGCGACCGGCCACACUGGGACUGAGACACGGCCCAGACUCCUACGGGAGGCAGCAGUGGGGAAUCUUGCGCAAUGGGCGAAAGCCUGACGCAGCGACGCCGCGUGAGGGAU
rnacentral:rRNA from 1 species